rnacentral:rRNA from 1 species
AGAGUUUGAUCCUGGCUCAGAGCGAACGCUGGCGGCAGGCCUAACACAUGCAAGUCGAACGAACUCUUCGGAGUUAGUGGCGGACGGGUGAGUAACACGCGGGAACGUGCCCUUUGGUACGGAAUAACUCAGGGAAACUUGAGCUAAUACCGUAUGUGCCCUUCGGGGGAAAGAUUUAUCGCCAUUGGAGCGGCCCGCGUCUGAUUAGCUAGUUGGUGAGGUAAAGGCUCACCAAGGCGACGAUCAGUAGCUGGUCUGAGAGGAUGACCAGCCACAUUGGGACUGAGACACGGCCCAAACUCCUACGGGAGGCAGCAGUGGGGAAUCUUGCGCAAUGGGCGAAAGCCUGACGCAGCCAUGCCGCGUGGAUGAUGAAGGUCUUAGGAUUGUAAAAUCCUUUCACCGGGGACGAUAAUGACGGUACCCGGAGAAGAAGCCCCGGCUAACUUCGUGCCAGCAGCCGCGGUAAUACGAAGGGGGCUAGCGUUGCUCGGAAUUACUGGGCGUAAAGGGCGCGUAGGCGGACAUUUAAGUCAGGGGUGAAAUCCCAGAG